rnacentral:rRNA from 1 species
AUUGAACGCUGGCGGCAGGCCUAACACAUGCAAGUCGAGCGGAUGAAGGGAGCUUGCUCCUGGAUUCAGCGGCGGACGGGUGAGUAAUGCCUAGGAAUCUGCCUGGUAGUGGGGGAUAACGUCCGGAAACGGGCGCUAAUACCGCAUACGUCCUGCGGGAGAAAGUGGGGGAUCUUCGGACCUCACGCUCUCAGAUGAGCCUAGGUCGGAUUAGCUAGUUGGUGGGGUAAAGGCCUACCAAGGCGACGAUCCGUAACUGGUCUGAGAGGAUGAUCAGUCACACUGGAACUGAGACACGGUCCAGACUCCUAAGGGAGGCAGCAGUGGGGAAUAUUGGACAAUGGGCGAAAGCAUGAUCCAGCCAUGCCGCGUGUGUGAAGAAGGUCUUCGGAUUGUAAAGCACUUUAAGUUGGGAGGAAGGGCAGUAAGUUAAUACCUUGCUGUUUUGACGUUACCAACAGAAUAAGCACCGGCUAACUUCGUG